rnacentral:misc_RNA from 1 species
GUAGGUGAACCUGCGGAAGGAUCAUUCACAAUAAGUGUUUAUGGCACUUUCAAAUCCAUACCCACCUUGUGUGCAAUGUAUAAGAGUCCUUUCCAACUCGGAUUGGACUUGAUUUUUCUCUCACACGUCUUCAAUUGCAAGUCUAAGCUUUCAGAGUAAUCAAAAAAAACUCGAAUACAACUUUCAACAACGGAUCUCUUGGCUCUCGCAUCGAUGAAGAACGCAGCAUCUGACUGACUCGACAGCUGAC